rnacentral:rRNA from 1 species
AUGAACGCUAGCGGCAGGCUUAACACAUGCAAGUCGAGGGGCAGCGCGGGAUAGCAAUAUCCUGGCGGCGACCGGCGGAAGGGUGCGUAACGCGUGAGCGACAUGCCCGUUGCCCGGGGACAACCGGUGGAAACGCCGACUAAUCCCCGAUGGGAUACGAUGCUUCAUGGCAUUGUAUUGAAAGUUACGGCGGCGACGGAUUGGCUCGCGUCCGAUUAGCUUGUUGGCGGGGUAACGGCCCACCAAGGCUACGAUCGGUAGGGGUUCUGAGAGGAAGGCCCCCCACAAUGGGACUGAGACACGGCCCAUACUCCUACGGGAGGCAGCAGUGAGGAAUAUUGGUCAAUGGGCGGAAGCCUGAACCAGCCAUGCCGCGUGCGGGAAGGAGGCCCUAUGGGCUGUGAACCGCUUUUGCCUGGGGGCAAUAAGGGCGUCGCGCACGUCCGAUGAGAGUACCAGGCGAAUAAGCAUCGGCUAACUCCGUGCCAGCAGCCGCGGUAAUACGGGGGAUGCGAGCGUUAUCCGGAUUCAUUGGGUUUAAAGGGUGCGUAGGCUGUGCGUCAAGUCGGGGGUGAAAUUCCGGUGCUCAACACCGGGGCUGCCCUUGAUACUGUCGCGCUGGAGUGCGGAUGCCGCCGGAGGAAUGAGUGGUGUAGCGGUGAAAUGCUUAGAUAUCACUCAGAACACCGAUUGCGAAGGCAUCUGGCGAAUCCGUAACUGACGCUGAGGCACGAAAGCGUGGGGAGCAAACAGGAUUAGAUACCCUGGUAGUCCACGCCGUAAACGAUGAGUGCUAAGUGUUAGGGGGUUUCCGCCCCUUAGUGCUGCAGCUAACGCAUUAAGCACUCCGCCUGGGGAGUACGACCGCAAGGUUGAAACUCAAAGGAAUUGACGGGGGCCCGCACAAGCGGAGGAACAUGUGGUUUAAUUCGAUGAUACGCGAGGAACCUUACCCGGGCUCGAACGGCACCUGAAUCGCCCAGAGAUGGGCGAGUCUUCGGACAGGUGUCGAGGUGCUGCAUGGUUGUCGUCAGCUCGUGUCGUGAGAUGUUGGGUUAAGUCCCGCAACGAGCGCAACCCCUAUCUUCAGUAGCCAGCAGGUUAAGCUGGGCACUCUGGAGAGACUGCCAGGGAUAACCUGGAGGAAGGUGGGGACGACGUCAAAUCAUCAUGCCCCUUAUGACCUGGGCUACACACGUGCUACAAUGGUUGGUACAAAGAGAAGCGAAGCGGUGACGUGGAGCAAACCUCAUAAAGCCAAUCUCAGUUCGGAUUGUAGGCUGCAACUCGCCUACAUGAAGUUGGAAUCGCUAGUAAUCGCGAAUCAGCAUGUCGCGGUGAAUACGUUCUCGGGCCUUGUACACACCGCCCGUCACACCACGAGAGUUUGUAACACCCGAAGCCGGUGGAGUAACCAUUUGGAGCUAGCCGUCGAAGGUGGGACAAAUGAUUGGGGUG